AGUCUGAUGGAGCAACGCCGCGUGAGUGAAGAAGGCUUUCGGGACGUAAAACUCUGUUGUUGGAGAAGAAUGGUCGGCAGAGUAACUGUUGUCGGCGUGACGGUAUCCAACCAGAAAGCCACGGCUAACUACGUGCCAGCAGCCGCGGUAAUACGUAGGUGGCAAGCGUUAUCCGGAUUUAUUGGGCGUAAAGCGAGCGCAGGCGGUUUUUUAAGUCUGAUGUGAAAGCCCUCGGCUUAACCGAGGAAGUGCAUCGGAAACUGGGAAACUUGAGUGCAGAAGAGGACAGUGGAACUCCAUGUGUAGCGGUGAAAUGCGUAGAUAUAUGGAAGAACACCAGUGGCGAAGGCGGCUGUCUGGUCUGUAACUGACGCUGAGGCUCGAAAGCAUGGGUAGCGAACAGGAUUAGAUACCCUGGUAGUCCAUGCCGUAAACGAUGAAUGCUAGGUGUUGGAGGGUUUCCGCCCUUCAGUGCCGCAGCUAACGCAUUAAGCAUUCCGCCUGGGGAGUACGACCGCAAGGUUGAAACUCAAAGGAAUUGACGGGGGCCCGCACAAGCGGUGGAGCAUGUGGUUUAAUU
rnacentral:rRNA from 2 species